rnacentral:lncRNA from 1 species
AAAGUACUUAAUAAUAAAACUCUCUUUGAAAUUUUACAUAAAACCAUACCCAAUUAUAGCUUUGGGUGCUUAUGCUAUACAACAAUCGAUCAAUCUAAGAGAAUACAAGUUCUCUCCUAGAACUUUUAAAGGGGUUUUCGAUCAUGGGUUAUCCUUCGGAAAUGGGUUGCUUGCGGAAGCGUUUUUCUCGAUUGAUACUAUCUUAUUUUCUACUGCCGGAGAUGUCGCUGAAGUAUUGAAGAAGACCGGCGAGUGAGCUUGCCGGAAUCGUCGCUGGAAUGAAGUGCGCAAGAAGAGGGGGAGAAAGUAGGGAUUUCCGUUUUAACAGAAAUACCCAAAAAUGUGUAAACAGUAAUUGUAUUGAAUUAUUAUUAGUUUACAACUAUUAGUUUUAUAGGAAAAAUUUUACAACAAACCCAAAUUGACUUAUCAAUAUUUUAACCAACUAAUAACAAAAUCAACUAACUAAUUCAUUUGUUAAUUCCUAAAACACAUUAGAAAAUUAAUUCCUUUAGUGUGGUCUCAUCUGAAACUACUAUUGCUGAUUUGAAGAAACAAGUCGCCAAACUCAAGGAAGAGAAUACGGGACUUAAGAGUGAACUUGCUAGCGCUAAAGAGGAGAUCUCGGCGCUUUCGAAAGAUAGUUCUGUAUUUUCUGGGAAGGCCGAAUAGUUGGAGUUGGAUGUGAGAUAUCAAUCCGAUCAACUCCAAGAACUCAUCUUCUUUGGACCUUCCGUGUUUCCCUCUCUACCCCUUGACUACAUCACGGACAUCAUGACAUGGGUAGAGCAGCCUCCUGAAGAGCUCGAAAAGAACAAGGAUGCUUUGGAUAAGAUGAAGGACGAAGCUGCUAAAGAAUAGAACAUUUUAGUCCUUAGAAUUUU